UACAGAGGUCCCAAGCGUUGUUCGGAUUCACUGGGCGUAAAGGGUGCGCAGGUGGGUUUGCAAGUUCGAUGUGAAAGCCCCGGGCUUAACCCGGGAAUGGCAUUGGAUACUGCAGAUCUGGAGGAUCGGAGGGGGGACUGGAAUUCUGGUGUAGCAGUGAAAUGCGUAGAUAUCAAGAGGAACACCAGUGGCGAAGGCGAGUCCCUGGACGAUACCUGACACUGAGGCACGAAAGCUAGGGGAGCAAACAGG
rnacentral:rRNA from 1 species